UACGUAGGUGGCAAGCGUUGUCCGGAUUUACUGGGUGUAAAGGGCGUGUAGCCGGGCUGACAAGUCAGAUGUGAAAUUCCGGGGCUCAACCCCGGACCUGCAUUUGAAACUGUUGGUCUUGAGUAUCGGAGAGGCAGGCGGAAUUCCUAGUGUAGCGGUGAAAUGCGUAGAUAUUAGGAGGAACACCAGUGGCGAAGGCGGCCUGCUGGACGACAACUGACGGUGAGGCGCGGAAAGCGUGGGGAGCAAACAGG
rnacentral:rRNA from 1 species